rnacentral:tRNA from 1 species
CGGGGUGUAGCUCAGUCCGGUAGAGUGUCUGCUUUGGGAGCAGAAAGUCGCACGUUCGAAUCGUGUCACCCCGACCA